GUGAGGAAUCUUCCACAAUGGGCGAAAGCCUGAUGGAGCAACGCCGCGUGCAGGAUGAAGGCCUUCGGGUCGUAAACUGCUUUUAUAAGUGAAGAAUAUGACGGUAACUUAUGAAUAAGCACCGGCUAACUACGUGCCAGCAGCCGCGGUCAUACGUAGGGUGCAAGCAUUAUCCGGAGUGACUGGGCGUAAAGAGUUGCGUAGGUGGUUUGUUAAGCGAGUAGUGAAAUCAGGCGGCUCAACCGUUCUGGCUAUUACUCGAACUGGCAAACUCGAGAGUGGUAGAGGUAACUGGAAUUUCUUGUGUAGGAGUGAAAUCCGUAGAUAUAAGAAGGAACACCAAUGGCGUAGGCAGGUUACUGGACCAUUUCUGACACUAAGGCACGAAAGCGUGGGGAGCGAACGGGAUUAGAUACCCUAGUAGUCC
rnacentral:rRNA from 1 species